CAGUCGCCACGGUAAAACGAAGGGGGCUAGCGUUGUUCGGAUUUACUGGGCGUAAAGCGCACGUAGGCGGAUCGAUCAGUCAGGGGUGAAAUCCUGGAGCUCAACUCCAGAACUGCCUUUGAUACUGUCGAUCUCGAGUCCGGAAGAGGUGAGUGGAACUCCUAGUGUAGAGGUGAAAUUCGUAGAUAUUGGGAAGAACACCGGUGGCGAAGGCGGCGACCUGGUCCAUAACUGACGCUGAGGCGCGAAAGCGUGGGGAGCAAACAGGAUUAGAUACCCCUGUAGUCCCUGUCUCUUAUAA
rnacentral:rRNA from 1 species